rnacentral:rRNA from 1 species
CUUGUUCAGAUUUGAUUUUCAACAUUGCAAUGAGUGGCGAACGGGUGAGUAACACGUGGGAAACCUACCUCUUAGCAGGGGAUAACAUUUGGAAACAAAUGCUAAUACCGUAUAAUAAUUAAAACCGCAUGGUUUUAGUUUAAAAGAUGGUCUUGCUAUCACUAAGAGAUGGUCCCGCGGUGUAUUAGUUAGUUGGUGAGGUAAUGGCUCACCAAGACAAUGAUACAUAGCCGAGUUGAGAGACUGACCGGCCACAAUGGGACUGAUACACGGCCCAUACUCCUACGGGAGGCAGCAGUAGGGAAUCUUCCACAAUGGACGAAAGUCUGAUGGAGCAACGCCGCGUGUGUGAUGAAGGGUUUCGGCUCGUAAAACACUGUUGUAAGAGAAGAAUGACAUUGAGAGUAACUGUUCAAUGUGUGACGGUAUCUUACCAGAAAGGAACGGCUAAAUACGUGCCAGCAGCCGCGGUAAUACGUAUGUUCCAAGCGUUAUCCGGAUUUAUUGGGCGUAAAGCGAGCGCAGACGGUUAUUUAAGUCUGAAGUGAAAGCCCUCGGCUCAACCGAGGAAUUGCUUUGGAAACUGGAUAACUUGAGUGCAGUAGAGGAAAGUGGAACUCCAUGUGUAGCGGUGAAAUGCGUAGAUAUAUGGAAGAACACCAGUGGCGAAGGCGGCUUUCUGGACUGUAACUGACGUUGAGGCUCGAAAGUGUGGGUAGCAAACAGGAUUAGAUACCCUGGUAGUCCACACUGUAAACGAUGAGUGCUAGUUGUUCGAGGGUUUCCGCCCUUGAGUGACGAAGCUAACGCAUUAAGCACUCCGCCUGGGGAGUACGACCGCAAGGUUGAAACUCAAAGGAAUUGACGGGGACCCGCACAAGCGGUGGAGCAUGUGGUUUAAUUCGAAGCAACGCGAAGAACCUUACCAGGUCUUGACAUCCUUUGACCACUCCAGAGAUGGAGCUUUCCCUUCGGGGACAAAGUGACAGGUGGUGCAUGGUUGUCGUCAGCUCGUGUCGUGAGAUGUUGGGUUAAGUCCCGCAACGAGCGCAACCCUUAUUGUUAGUUGCCAGCAUUUAGUUGGGCACUCUAGCAAGACUGCCGGUGACAAACCGGAGGAAGGCGGGGAUGACGUCAAAUCAUCAUGCCCCUUAUGACCUGGG